rnacentral:snoRNA from 1 species
AUCCCAUGAUGUGGACACUUUCGCAGCAUAUUCUUGAACCUAUUCCAGGCUUCAUCAAAAUUCUAUGAGUCUUCUUGACAGAAGAUAGAAAUGUCGUGCUUGAACUU